CAUGCCGCGUGUGUGAAGAAGGCUUUCGGGUUGUAAAGCACUUUCAGUGAGGAGGAAAACUCUGCGACUAAUACUCGUAGGGCUUGACGUUACUCACAGAAGAAGCACCGGCUAACUCCGUGCCAGCAACGGCGGUGACUGAGCGGGCUGGCAAGGCGCAUA
rnacentral:rRNA from 1 species